rnacentral:misc_RNA from 1 species
AACAUCGCGCACCUGCGGGAACCUGCGGAAGGAUCAUUACCGAGUUAUACAACUCAUCAACCCUGUGAACAUACCUAUAACGUUGCCUCGGCGGGAACAGACGGCCCCGUAACACGGGCCGCCCCCGCCAGAGGACCCCCUAACUCUGUUUCUAUAAUGUUUCUUCUGAGUAAACAAGCAAAUAAAUUAAAACUUUCAACAAUGGAUCU